rnacentral:rRNA from 1 species
UUGGCGGACGGGUGAGUAACGCGUGAGGAACCUGCCUCAAAGAGGGGACAACAGUUGGAAACGACUGCUAAUACCGCAUAAGCCCACGGGUCGGCAUCGACCAGAGGGAAAAGGAGCAAUCCGCUUUGAGAUGGCCUCGCGUCCGAUUAGCUAGUUGGUGAGGUAACGGCCCACCAAGGCGACGAUCGGUAGCCGGACUGAGAGGUUGAACGGCCACAUUGGGACUGAGACACGGCCCAG